CUUCCUUUUCAAAAAUGAUAUCAAGCGCUGAUUCCUUCACCAGCAGAGUGUUGGUUUGUGGGAAACUUUAUUCUUAUAGCAAACUGUAAGAUCAUGCUGAUAAAAGUUUCAUUCUACUAGAAGUCAUAUAAAAUAGAUCCCAGUUAUUGUAAAUCUCACAUUUCUUAAUUAUUUUAUCUGUUUUGUAGACAGUUGAAGUUGGGACUUCCCGCAGAGGUGCAGUUGCUACCCAACCUGGAAAUUUGCAACUAAGAGCAUCUGGUGGUAAUCUUUAAUGUUGUUCUCACAAGUUUUGUAUGCUUCAGCCGUUCAUCAGGACUUCAGUAAGAAUUCUUCUAGUAAAAGACAAAGGUACAAGAAAAGAAAUAGAACAAAAUCUGACGGGUCAGAAAGUCUUUCCGAUAUUGAUGACUCUGAGGUAUAUGCUUUGUUUUUUCACAUGCAUUAUUUGUUUAAAGUCUGGCAAUGGUUUUUACAAGUGUUUUUCUUAUAGAGGUAAGUUCACUUUCAUGCUUUGCAUGAGAAUACCUUUACUUUUGUUUGAAUAAUCAAAACUUCUAUGCACCCUGGAAAUUUCUAAUGCUUCUUCUUUUGUCCUGUACCUUGCUGAACUCUGUUAAUGAAAUCUUUUUGGUCGUUGAUAAUAUCUAACAUUUUCACAGCUGAUAAGUCAGUAAGAAUUACAUCUUGUGAAAAUGAAAAGGAUGCAUAGUUCAGAAUAUGAAUGGGAAUCAAGCAUUUAUAACUAGAGCCCUGAGUUGGAGAUUCAUUUGAGCAAAUUUUUAUGCUUUUCAGACUGUUGGAUAUCUUAACAAAAAGGAGAUGCAUUUGAAAAGGAUGUUAUGGGAAGCAAUGAAUAAAGAACAUGUAACGGUUAAGAAACAAAAACCAGCAACUGAAACAAAGAAAACUACAUCUGCAAGAAAAGCUGUUAAAACCAUCGAGAAAUUGGAACAACAGGU